UUUUGUUUCCAGAACAAUCUAACGCUUUCUCGCUCCUCCUCUUCGUGUCUCUCUCCCUGCAAGCAAAUAUGAGUAGCAGCCGAUGGAACCGUACGAUCUACGUUGGGAACUUGCCUGGCGAUAUUCGUAUGAGAGAGGUUGAAGAUCUCUUCUACAAGUAUGGACCCAUUGUGGACAUUGAUCUGAAGAUUCCACCGAGACCUCCUGGUUAUGCAUUUGUUGAGUUUGAAGAUCCUCGUGAUGCAGAUGAUGCUAUUUAUGGGCGGGAUGGGUAUGACUUUGAUGGAUGUCGUCUACGGGUUGAGAUUGCACAUGGUGGUCGUAGAGGUUCAUCCUCGGUGGAUAGGCACAGCAGCAGCUACAGUGGGAGCCGUGCACCUUCUAGACGGUCUGACUAUCGUGUGCUUGUGACGGGGUUGCCGCCAUCUGCUUCCUGGCAGGACCUUAAGGAUCACAUGCGCAAAGCUGGAGAUGUCUGCUUUUCUGAAGUUUUUCGUGACCGUGGAGGCAUGUCAGGGGUUGUGGACUAUAGCAACUAUGAUGAUAUGAAGUACGCGAUAAGGAAGCUUGAUGACUCUGAGUUUCGAAAUGCUUUCUCCAGAGCUUAUAUACGGGUGAGAGAAUAUGAGUCGAGGAGUGUGAGUCGCAGCCCAUAUUAUUCUAGAAGCAGGAGUCGAAGCCGUGGUCGAAGCUAUAGUUAUAGUAGCAGAAGUUUGUCGCCUGCUAGAUCUUCUCGUUCUCCAACUCCGUAUAGCUCGAUCUCAAGAUCUGGCUCACUGCGGCGAGCUGGGGACUGGAUCUUAGGGACUUGAUGGGGUUAAUCUUAGAUGGAUCCUAGGACUUGCUGCUCUGAUACUCAGCCCGUAUCAGCUGUACAUUUUGGCCUAAGAGUCCUCUGAUUCCCUAACGUUUCUUUUUUUCUGUCCAUGCUGGAAUCCAUGUUUUAGUUCUUUUCUAGACCAACACCCGAGUCCAGAUGGGAGAUGGUCAGUAGAAAAUUGUUUUGUCAUGACGCCACAUUAACAAGGUUUUUUGUUUUUGUCUUACUGCAGGUCCCGGUCAAGAUCGAGAUCAAAUUCUCCAGUUUCACCCGUGAGAUCUGACUGAAAAGAAGACCUGGUGACCGGGAAUAGAGUACCGCCGUAUCCAAAUUGAGUCAUGCUUCUCAUGGUCCACUCGUAGUAUAAUAAUCUGAUUUGGAUUUGAGUUACUUAUUAUAUCUCGAAUGAACAAUUAAUAAUAUGUUUUUUCUAUUUAAAAACUUUUAGUUGGUCUGUUAUUGUGUCUUUUAGCAAUGAACCGAACCUCUUAAAAUAAUCUAUUUGUGGUUGCUU